CCUACGAGCGGCAGCAGUGAGGAAUAUUGGUCCAUGGCCGCAGGGCUGAACCAGCCAAGUCGCGUGAGGGAUGACGGUCCUAUGGAUUGUAAACCUCUUUUGUCAGGGGACAAAGGGCGCCACGUGUGGCGUUUUGCGAGUACCUGAAGAAAAAGCAUCGGCUACCUCCGUGCCCGCAGCCGCGGUAAUACGGAGGAUGCGAGCGUUAUCCGGAUUUAUUGGGUUUAAAGGGUGCGCAGGCGGAAUGGUAAGUCAGCGGUAAAAUUUCGGGGCUCAACCCCGUCGUGCCGUGGAAACUGGCGUGCUUGAGUGAGCGAGAAGUAUGCGGAAUGCGUGGUGUAGCGGGGAAAUGCAUAGAUAUCACGCAGAACUCCGAUUGCGAAGGCAGCAUACCGGCGCUCAACUGACGCUCAUGCACGAAAGCGGGGGUAUCGAACAGGAUUAGAUACCCCUGUAGUC
rnacentral:rRNA from 1 species